CAGCCGCCGCGGUAAUUCGUAGGUGGCAAGCGUUGUCCGGAAUUAUUGGGCGUAAAGGGCUCGCAGGCGGUUUCUUAAGUCUGAUGUGAAAGCCCCCGGCUCAACCGGGGAGGGUCAUUGGAAACUGGGAAACUUGAGUGCAGAAGAGGAGAGUGGAAUUCCACGUGUAGCGGUGAAAUGCGUAGAGAUGUGGAGGAACACCAGUGGCGAAGGCGACUCUCUGGUCUGUAACUGACGCUGAGGAGCGAAAGCGUGGGGAGCGAACAGGAUUAGAUACCCCUGUAGUCCCUGUCUCUUAUAC
rnacentral:rRNA from 1 species